UAAAAGUUAAGCUAUGCUUUUAUUAGAGAAGUACUUGGAGGAAUUUAAAUACAAGUAGUACAUGUUUACAUAUGUGAAAGUGACAACACACACAUCUAUUCUACAUCAUUUAUCCUACAACACUAGUCAACAAGUUUGGAAGCUAGCUAUUUUGGUGAUGGAGCCAAAGGAUCUCUAGAGGAGCAUCUUCUUUCUUUCUCCCUCACUCUCUUUCUCGAUUAGGGAGCAGCCACAAGACUCCAAAGCUCCAGCCAUGUACCUGCAAAUUAACACAAGAAUAGGGGUUAGAAGAUGACUCACAAAUAACAAGGAAGGGAGGCACAAGCUCAAUUAGGAAAGGGAAGUAGUAGGCAAUGUAGAGGCUGCACUAUAGAGCCUGAGGUCAGCCAUUUUUGGCACAUUCUCAACUAGCAUCAAAGAGGAAUCAAGACAAGAGAGCAUAGUAGAAUGAGCCUCUACACAAGCCCAAUAUAGACAUGAGCAAGAUUCUUGUUUUCCCAUCGAUCAAGGCUGAGGAAACAGCCAAGAGAGACAACCAUACAUACACCAAAAUAGUAAGGAUAGCAUGAACAUCAAGCUCAAAAGUAGUGGAGCUGGCAGCCUCAAAAUAGGAGCCUUUGCCUCCAAGCCUCCAAGUAUCAAGCACAAAAGGCCAAAGAUAGAGCACUAUAUAAACAGCCCCAAUCUCCUUCUCCUCCCCUCAUUCUCAACACUAUAAGAUCACCAAAUAUUCAAGAGAGCAGCAAGAAGUGGAGGAGGAGCAAGGAGGAGUUUGAGGCAGGACAUCGGUCCCACCCAAGAGGAUUCAUAAAAGUGAGGUUGAACGUCAAGAGGAUGGAGAAAUGAUCGGAGUCGAUGCUUCUAAAUAAUACAGUGGAUCUUUUCACGAUUCGUGUCUUCAUACACGAAGUCGUCUAGUAUGGACUUAUUCCGCUGCUCUUUUGUGAAGUGAGACAUCUUAGAAUCUCACCUUCGAACUCUGAUUUAUUGAUGUAAUAUUUAUUCUAAGCUCUAAGACCAUGUAUGGUACAUUUGGCUUUUAUUUUAUGAUAUGAAUCGACUUGGCCUUUGGGCAUUAUUCUCAA